rnacentral:rRNA from 1 species
UACGAGGGGUGCAAGCGUUGCUCGGAAUUAUUGGGCGUAAAGGGUAGGUAGGUGGUCUCAUUUGUCUGGGGUGAAAGCCCUGAGCUUAACUCAAGAAGUGCCCUAGAAACGGUGAGACUGGAGUCUUGGAGAGGGUCGUGGAAUUCCCGGUGUAGCGGUGAAAUGCGUAGAGAUCGGGAGGAACACCAGAGGCGAAGGCGGCGACCUGGACAAGUACUGACGCUGAGGAGCGAAAGCGUGGGGAGCGAGCAGG